GGUGAACGCUGGCGGCGUGCUUAACACAUGCAAGUCGAACGAGAAGUGAAGACGGAAACCUUCGGGCGGAAGGCUUUAUUUCGAGUGGCGGCCGGGGGAGUAACGCGUGGGUAACCUGCCUCAUACAGGGGGAUAACAGUUGGAAACGACUGUUAAUACCGCAUAAGACCACAGCACCGCAUGGUGCGGGGGUAAAAACUCCGGUGGUAUGAGAUGGACCCGCGUUCGAUUAGCCAGUUGGCGGGGUAACGGCCCACCAAAGCGACGAAGGGUAGCCGAGCGGGGAGGAGGACCGGCCACAUUGGGACUGAGACACGGCCCAAACUCCUACGGGAAGCAGCAGUGGGGAAUAUUGCACAAUGGGGGAAACCCUGAUGCAGCGGCGCCGCGUGAGUGAAGAAGUAUUUCGGUAUGUAAAGCUCUAUCAGCAGGGAAGAAAAUGACGGUACCUGAGUAAGAAGCCCCGGCUAACUACGUG
rnacentral:rRNA from 1 species